UGGGGAAUAUUGCACAAUGGGGGAAACCCUGAUGCAGCCAUGCCGCGUGUGUGAAGAAGGCCUUCGGGUUGUAAAGCACUUUCAGCGAGGAGGAAAGGUUGGCAGCUAAUAUCUGUCAGCUGUGACGUUACUCGCAGAAGAAGCACCGGCUAACUCCGUGCCAGCAGCCGCGGUAAUACGGAGGGUGCAAGCGUUAAUCGGAAUUACUGGGCGUAAAGCGCACGCAGGCGGUUGGAUAAGUUAGAUGUGAAAGCCCCGGGCUCAACCUGGGAAUUGCAUUUAAAACUGUUCAGCUAGAGUCUUGUAGAGGGGGGUAGAAUUCCAGGUGUAGCGGUGAAAUGCGUAGAGAUCUGGAGGAAUACCGGUGGCGAAGGCGGCCCCCUGGACAAAGACUGACGCUCAGGUGCGAAAGCGUGGGGAGCAAACAGG
rnacentral:rRNA from 1 species